UAAUUAUUACUCCUGAAAUGAAUGAAAUUUUUAAUCAUUUGGUACUCAUACACCAUUUAAGAAGAGUAAGAUCAUUUCCAAUUAGUGAGUAUAUUUCAUCGGAGCUCGCCGGAGUAUUUUGGCCGGAGCUUUUAGGAAACCGGGAAGAAAGACAAUAGAAGUAUAGAACUGAGAAGCACCCGACCCGACCCGACAAAAUCCCCUUUCUCAACACCCCGUAGAAUAGUCAUUCGAAAUUCAAUUUUAGGGUUCUUAAGGCUCAUUUCACGCUUAACAAAUGGAUGUUGAUAUAUCCCGUUGGAUUCUCGAAUUCAUCCUCCGACAACCGCUCGAUGACAGCAUACUCAACGCUCUAAUUCACACUAUUCCACUUCCAAACGACAAUUUGAACCUCAAAAAAGCCCUAAUCCUCAGAAAACUUGAAUCCGAGAUUUCUAACGGUUCAGUUACUGAGAAAAUCCUCGAACUUCUCGAACUAUUCGAGGAACUAGAUCAUCAAGAAGGAACUGAAACUUUAAAGGAACUGAAAUCCGCGUACUGUGCGGUGGCAGUGGAAUGCACGGUGAAAUUUUUGAAUGAAAAAGGGGCGGAAAGUGAUAAAGGAAAGUAUUUUGAAGCAGUAAAGAGGAUAUGGAAAAAGAGAAUUAAUUUAAUGGAAAAAAUGGAGAAUGUAGGGUUCGUAUGUGAAGAGUUAUGGGAUUGGAGGGAUGAAAUAGAAGCAGCGUUAUGGGAAGAUAAGUGUUGUGAUAAUGUGAUAAGGAGAAGUAAAGGCAUAUUUCCUGUUGAGGCGGUUAUGGUUUUCGUUAGAGAAGCUAAAGAGAGAAUUGGGCCUCCUUUUCUUGAUGUUGUGGCGGAGACUUACAGGAGUGAUGAUACGGUGAGGGCAUUUUUUGGAGGGGUGAACGAACAAGGGACUUGCAGGAAUAAUGUCAGAGAAGUGCGCAAAGGAAAUGCAUUGCCCAGGCAGAAGCAUGUUGCUUUCAGACGCACCAGAGGAGCAUUAGCUCGGACAUGUGGAGGUGUUAGGAUCAGUGACUCUAUUGAGUUAGGACUUGAUGCAUCUGGUAGACAGGACUUCCUGCCUACGCCUGAAAUCGAGAAAGCACAGGAAGCACUUAAAUUGAGUUCGAUGGAGCUGCGUGCUAUGGUGAAGGAUCCUCUACCUGAUGUACUACAGUUUGCUGAGACUCUGUCUUCUUUGGUGAGGGAUCAUAUGGGUCAUCAGCCUGCCGAAAAUAACAGUGACAGAGCCCCUUAUCCAGUGGUUGCCAGUAGCAGAAUGGAUCAAGUUAAUGGAGAGAAUUGUGAGGCACAGCGUAAUUGUCAUCCUAGUGCUGCAUCCAAGCCAGACCUAAUGAACCGAAAGAGUGCUGCCCAUACAUCUGAGUGGGACGAUUCAGCAGACGAGUUGAUUGAAGGAUCACCAAGUGGCGCGAGGAGGUUUACAUUACCUAGCCCGAAGAGGACGAAAAUCUCUCCCUUGAAGAAAUAUGAAUUUAAAAAAUUCACCACGAGGAGAAAGCCCACGAAAUGGAGUGCGUUGGAAGAAGACACUUUGAGAACUGGUGUAAAGAAGUAUGGUUCCGGAAAUUGGACGCACAUCUUAAAUACUUAUCGUGACAUAUUUGUAGUGAGGACUGCGGGUGACUUGAAGGACAAGUGGAGAAACAUGAUGUCGUAGAGAUUUAUUUUGAAGAAAUUUGCUAAUGUAUGUGCCUUUUGUUUUGUUUACCAGAGAGUAUCUCAGCAGAUGCAAAGCCUAGAUUGUUAAUAUGAGAGAUGAGUACCGUCUGCCUCGAUUUCUUCUGGGUUGCAGUGUGGUGGUUCCGUCGAAUCCGGAAAGCAGCUCAAGUGACUCGAUUUUAAACAGCUAUCUGCUAAUAGUUCUUGCAGCUCUGCCACUUGCGCUGCUAUGUGCCCUUGACCUGAGGGCAAUCGUACGUUGUGUUUUACGAUACAACACGAGAUUUCCCUUCGAGUCCUCAGAAGCUGCUACUUCACGUUUGGCAUCCAAUGGAAUGGACAAGGAUGAGUUGGAAAAGAUACCAGUGAUGGUUUACGAGCCAGGACUGAGGAUGUUUUCUGCUACAGAUUGUCCAAUAUGUCUCGGAGAAUUUGAACAAGGAGAAAAGUUGAGAAUGUUGCCAAGAUGCAAUCAUGCCUUUCAUGUCAAGUGCAUUGAUGAAUGGUUUUCAUCGCAUUCAUCGUGCCCAACUUGCAGGCAACCAUUGGUUCUACACGAUGGCGAAUCCAAAAUUUAGACGUUGUGGAGUUUGAAUUGAGCUAGAGAAUGAGUUUUUAAAUA